GAUUAAGUUAUUAAGGGCGCACGGUGGAUGCCUUGGCACUAGAAGCCGAUGAAGGACGUUACUAACGACGAUAUGCUUUGGGGAGCUGUAAGUAAGCUUUGAUCCAGAGAUUUCCGAAUGGGGAAACCCAGCAUGAGUUAUGUCAUGUUAUCGAUAUGUGAAUACAUAGCAUAUCAGAAGGCACACCCGGAGAACUGAAACAUCUUAGUACCCGGAGGAAGAGAAAGAAAAUUCGAUUCCCUUAGUAGCGGUGAGCGAAACGGGAAGAGCCCAAACCAACAAGCUUGCUUGUUGGGGUUGUAGGACACUCUAUACGGAGUUACAAAGGACGACAUUAGACGAAUCAUCUGGAAAGAUGAAUCAAAGAAGGUAAUAAUCCUGUAGUCGAAAAUGUUGUCUCUCUUGAGUGGAUCCUGAGUACGACGGAGCACGUGAAAUUCCGUCGGAAUGUGGGAGGACCAUCUCCUAAGGCUAAAUACUCUCUAGUGACCGAUAGUGAACCAGUACCGUGAGGGAAAGGUGAAAAGCACCCCGGAAGGGGAGUGAAAUAGAACCUGAAACCGUGUGCUUACAAGUAGUCAGAGCCCGUUAAUGGGUGAUGGCGUGCCUUUUGUAGAAUGAACCGGCGAGUUACGAUUUGAUGCAAGGUUAAGCAGUAAAUGUGGAGCCGUAGCGAAAGCGAGUCUGAAUAGGGCGUUUAGUAUUUGGUCGUAGACCCGAAACCAGGUGAUCUACCCUUGGUCAGGUUGAAGUUCAGGUAACACUGAAUGGAGGACCGAACCGACUUACGUUGAAAAGUGAGCGGAUGAACUGAGGGUAGCGGAGAAAUUCCAAUCGAACCUGGAGAUAGCUGGUUCUCUCCGAAAUAGCUUUAGGGCUAGCCUCAAGUGAUGAUUAUUGGAGGUAGAGCACUGUUUGGACGAGGGGCCCCUCUCGGGUUACCGAAUUCAGACAAACUCCGAAUGCCAAUUAAUUUAACUUGGGAGUCAGAACAUGGGUGAUAAGGUCCGUGUUCGAAAGGGAAACAGCCCAGACCACCAGCUAAGGUCCCAAAAUAUAUGUUAAGUGGAAAAGGAUGUGGCGUUGCCCAGACAACUAGGAUGUUGGCUUAGAAGCAGCCAUCAUUUAAAGAGUGCGUAAUAGCUCACUAGUCGAGUGACACUGCGCCGAAAAUGUACCGGGGCUAAACAUAUUACCGAAGCUGUGGAUUGUCCUUUGGACAAUGGUAGGAGAGCGUUCUAAGGGCGUUGAAGCAUGAUCGUAAGGACAUGUGGAGCGCUUAGAAGUGAGAAUGCCGGUGUGAGUAGCGAAAGACGGGUGAGAAUCCCGUCCACCGAUUGACUAAGGUUUCCAGAGGAAGGCUCGUCCGCUCUGGGUUAGUCGGGUCCUAAGCUGAGGCCGACAGGCGUAGGCGAUGGAUAACAGGUUGAUAUUCCUGUACCACCUAUAAUCGUUUUAAUCGAUGGGGGGACGCAGUAGGAUAGGCGAAGCGUGCGAUUGGAUUGCACGUCUAAGCAGUAAGGCUGAGUAUUAGGCAAAUCCGG
rnacentral:rRNA from 1 species